rnacentral:ncRNA from 2 species
CGGGGCAUCCGUGCGACAGGUGUCCGCAUGCCCUGCAUGCGGAGUAAACGGGAACGGGGUGAAGGCCGCAGCCACAGCGAGGCGCGCGCCCAUGCCCCGGCUGCCCCCGCAACGGUAAGCAAGCGACAACGCCGUUCGUCCGCCAGGCUGAUCCCUCAGCCGGGCGGGCCGUCACUGGGCUCCCACGUGGUCUGCGACAGCAGAUGCGCGGCGGGCCUGGGAAGACGCGGCGCCGGCAGGGCCCAGCGCCCUGCCCCUUGCGAGCCCGGAGACCGGCCUGGCGCGUUCGUGCAUG